rnacentral:rRNA from 1 species
UACUAAUACCGGAUAUUCUUGCUUUAUGCAAGUUUUGCAAGCAAAGGUGGCCUCUGUUGUAAGCUACUGCAUGAAGAGGGGUCUGCGUACCAUUAGCUAGUAGGUGGGGUAAGGGCCCACCUAGGCGACGAUGGUUAGCGGGUCUGAGAGGAUGAUCCGCCACACUGGCACUGGAACACGGGCCAGACUCCUACGGGAGGCAGCAGUGAGGAAUAUUGCGCAAUGGGGGCAACCCUGACGCAGCGACGCCGCGUGAGUGAGGAAGGCCUUCGGGUCGUAAAGCUCUGUCAAGAGGAAAGAAAUGCAUGGUGGCUAAUACCUGCUAUGUUUGACGGUACCUCUAAAGGAAGCACCGGCUAACUCCGUGCCAGCAGCCGCGGUAAUACGGAGGGUGCAAGCGUUGUUCGGAAUCACUGGGCGUAAGGGCGCGUACGCGGUUUGAUAAGUCAGAUGUGAAAGCCCACGGCUUAACCGUGGAAGUGCAUUUGAAACUGUCAGACUUGAGUACCAGAGGGGAAAGUGGAAUUCCCGGUGUAGAGGUGAAAUUCGUAGAUAUCGGGAGGAAUACCGGUGGCGAAGGCGACUUUCUGGCUGGAUACUGACGCUGAGGCGCGAAAGCGUGGGGAGCAAACAGGAUUAGAUACCCUGGUAGUCCACGCUGUAAACGAUGUCACUAGAUGUAGGGGGUGUUGAUCCCUUCUGUGUCGCAGCUAACGCAUUAAGUUGAC